UAAAAUUUAGGUUAUAUUAAACUUUAAAUUUUCAAAAUUUAAGAAACCAAGGUAGUUUUAG
rnacentral:tRNA from 1 species